UUUCCCUCAGGAUAGCUGGCACUCGCUUGAGCGAGUCUCAUCUGGUAAAGCGAAUGAUUAGAGGCCUUGGGGCCGAAACGACCUCAACCUAUUCUCAAACUUUAAAUGGGUGAGAUCUCUGGCUUGCUUGAACGUUGAAGCCACGAGAUUAAAUAUUUUUUUUUCAAUGGAUCAGAGUGCCAAGUGGGCCAAUUUUGGUAAGCAGAACUGGCGCUGUGGGA
rnacentral:rRNA from 1 species